rnacentral:rRNA from 1 species
AUUGAAUGCUGGCGGCAGGCCUAACACAUGCAAGUCGAACGAGUGGCGGACGGGUGAGUAAUGUCUGGGAAACUGCCCGAUGGAGGGGGGUAACUACUGGAAACGGUAGCUAAUACCGCAUACCAUCGGAUGUGCCCAUAUGGGAUUAGCUAGUAGGUGGGGUAACGGCUCACCUAGGCGACGAUACCUAGCUGGUCUGAGAGGAUGACCAGACACACUGGAACUGAGACACGGUCAAGACUCCUACGGGAGACAGCAGUGGGGAAUAUUGCACAAUGGGCGCAAGCCUGAUGCAUCCAUGCCGCGUGUAUGAAGAAGGCCUUCGGGUUGUAAAGUACUUUCAGCGAGAAGGCGUUACUCGCAGAAGAAGCACCGGCUAACUCCGUGCCAGCGGCCGCGGUAAUAC